rnacentral:rRNA from 1 species
UGGGGAAUCUUGGACAAUGGGCGCAAGCCUGAUCCAGCCAUGCCGCGUGGAUGAUGAAGGCCUUAGGGUUGUAAAAUCCUUUCGUUGGGGACGAUAAUGACGGUACCCAAAGAAGAAGCUCCGGCUAACUUCGUGCCAGCAGCCGCGGUAAUACGAAGGGGGCUAGCGUUGUUCGGAUUUACUGGGCGUAAAGCGCGUGUAGGCGGAUUUGUAAGUUGGGGGUGAAAUCCCGAGGCUCAACCUCGGAACUGCCUCCAAAACUACAAGUCUGGACCUAAGUAGAGGCAAGUGGAAUUGCGAGUGUAGAGGUGAAAUUCGUAGAUAUUCGCAGGAACACCAGUGGCGAAGGCGACUUGCUGGACUUAUGGUGACGCUGAGACGCGAAAGCGUGGGGAGCAAACAGGAUUAGAUACCCGCGUAGUCCCUGAGCGGGCUGGCAAGGCGCAU